rnacentral:rRNA from 1 species
GCCGAGCUGACCACGGAGAUGAAGGCCACUGGUAUCAGUUUCAGGGAACGUUUCUGGUACCACGUCGGUUUCUUGUUUAAAAAAAAAGAUGAUGAGUUCCAACACUUCUUUGCCGAGCUACGCUUCAAUGAGUGGACCCGCAGACCAAAUGUUCAAACAUGCACCAUCUUAGAAAAGCCGUUGUGCCGCUUCAGAAGCAGGUGUGCUUUUUGUACAGAUGGGUCUAAGAUUUUGCACCCAAGCGAUACGGAAUUUGCGUGUGGAAAGGAGGGGCACGAAAAGAAAUUCUUCAGCAAGAAGGAUAUGCAAGUGUGGCCGAUUGAUCCUAUGAGACAUGCAUCGCGGACGUAG